UUUUUCUGGAACAUGUUUUACCAUAUCAUCUGAAAAACCCCUCAUGACGCCAUAGCACCCAUUAAAAUAGAGUGUUUGGAAAAAAAACGAAAUAUUUUGGUCCAGUGUAGAGGGCGUAGUCAGAAGAAAACGGCAACCAAUAGAAGUAAUACUCAUCAUCACUUCUAUUGGUUUCUGACACGUCCAUCAACCACCAGCACUCACCCCUCCUCCCUGCGCGUUCAUCGACUCGUGAACUUGACCGACCCCGCCCCCAUCAUUCAUGCACACGCGACGAGGCUCAUCAUCACUCGGCUAGCAAGGUAACGAGAGUUAGCAGCAGGCUGAGCUACUUGGAAACUUUGCUGGCUUUUGCAGAGCUACAGGAAGAACUUUGGCUUUUGUUACACUGGACUAACCAUGUCAGGAUAACAUAGUCCCUUGGAUUAUAGGCCUAGUCAUUGGACUCGCAAGACCAGAUUCCAACACUGGCUGACAAUUGGAAAUGGGACCUGACACUCUUGGACACAGAUGUCGACUACGGCAGCGGCUUCAAACAUAGGCUUUGGUGACCACAUUUCUAAUCGAGAGAAUCUAGUUGUGCGAACGAGCGACAAACCAGCUGGGAGGAUGGAUGCACCUGUUCUCAAUUCCCCUUCUCCACCCGCGUUCAGUAACUAAAUACGGAUUCACCCCGUAAUAAGUCAACCGCAGACAGGGUCCUUCCACAACCACAUACUUAUGCCAGUAAAAGCUACAGCUCUUCUCCGAUCCAAGAAGCCUGGACUGCAGUCACCAUCUCAACACACCAACCAAGAGAAAUGCGGAUGGCUCAAUUCAAUAUGGAAAAUUGCACAAUAAAAGUUCCAGGACGUGAAGGCUGCAUACUGUGAACGUCAACCUUCAG